rnacentral:rRNA from 1 species
AUUGAACGCUGGCGGCAGGCCUAACACAUGCAAGUCGAGCGGAUGAAGGGAGCUUGCUCCUGGAUUCAGCGGCGGACGGGUGAGUAAUGCCUAGGAAUCUGCCUGGUAGUGGGGGAUAACGUCCGGAAACGGGCGCUAAUACCGCAUACGUCCUGAGGGAGAAAGUGGGGGAUCUUCGGACCUCACGCUAUCAGAUGAGCCUAGGUCGGAUUAGCUAGAUGGUGGGGUAAAGGCCUACCAAGGCGACGAUCCGUAACUGGUCUGAGAGGAUGAUCAGUCACACUGGAACUGAGACACGGUCCAGACUCCUACGGGAGGCAGCAGUGGGGAAUAUUGGACAAUGGGCGAAAGCCUGAUCCAGCCAUGCCGCGUGUGUGAAGAAGGUCUUCGGAUUGUAAAGCACUUUAAGUUGGGAGGAAGGGCAGUAAGUUAAUACCUUGCUGUUUUGACGUUACCAACAGAAUAAGCACCGGCUAACUUCAUG